rnacentral:sRNA from 1 species
CAGAGACAGUGAUAGUUGUGAUGUUAUAUCUACAAGUUAUCAAUACUUGACAUUGUUGUAGAAUAGUGAUGUUUUACUUCAUUAUAAUAUAUAAAUUCAAUAUCUUCUACUUCUUUGAAGUAUUUUUUAGUUCGCUCUGCCUACCUACCUGCCUACCUAUCUACUGACCUGCUUGAAUGAAUGACAUCCACUGAUGAUAUAUCGAUGAUGGUAUUGUUUAAUAGCAACAUAAUGAAUAAUAUGACUUCGCACUUUCGCUCCGUCCUGCCCAGCUGCAUGUUUCAUGAAGCUCCUGCUCUAGAGUGUUGUGCCUGAGCGUUCCAACCCUUUGAAGAAACUAAAGAUGCCUUCAUCCCCUGGGAUUUAGAGAGUUCUAAAAUCCUUCUUCAGAUAAGCGGCGAGAUUCCCGACCCAUUCCCAACAUAUUCAUCCCCCCCUCAUUUAUCCCAGAUCUUUUUACUAAGUGCUGAGAUUAUUCAAUUAAUUACACAGUAUUCAGACUCUGAAAAGAUCAUUUACUUCUUUACUCUGAUGUGAUCAUUGCAGCAGUGUGAGCAUACUCGGCUUCGAUCCAGAACUGCCAAUCCCAAUCAAUCCAGUCAUAAAUUGCAUUGCCAGAGUCUUGUCCCACUGUAGAAGAGGUGAAAUAUACUGACUGAGGAACAGAUUUGAUUUGGUAACAACUGGAUCAUCUCUUCUGCGACCAAAGAGGAUCAGUGAAGUCAAAGACAACAAGAUCUUGUCUUGGGUCAUCAAAGCCAGGCUUCUCCACCAUGAUGACAUUUCUUGGCCUUAGGUCAGCGAGCAAGAGACAAAUUUCGAACGGUGCGCAUUUCAGACCUGUCAACAGGAAUAUUCAACGAAUAAGACCCAUAGAACCUGGGUACUCGGCCCCCGUGCAACUUAGAUAGGACAUCGUAAGCAUGAGCCUCGUGGGUAUAAUGCUUGUCCACGCAAUGAACAGGAUUAAUAAAUCCCUCCUCUUUGCUGAAAUAAAGAAGACCUGAGCAUUGCAGCUGUUUCCAACCCUCAAUCAAGAAUCUUCAAGUUGACGGUGCGCGGCUCCAUGUUUCCUGGUAAAUUGUGGUGGAUGUAAAGCUUGCGAAAACACGGAGGAUGUCGCAGGAACCGUUCGACUAAGUGAAACUGUCUUCUUUCCACCCAACCAGCUUGAAAGUUACGGUAACAAUCUUUGGUCAUGGGUAUUGGUGGUUUCGGAAGGUCGGUGGACGGAGGAUCUAUAAGAUGUUUGUAUGCUUUGAUAGAAACGGUGAUCUUUUAUAGGUACUAGAUGGCUGCCGCUCGACCUUUCGGACUUUCUGAUUUUCCGGACACACCCUGGGGCAACUGUACUUUAACAUGUCAACUUCCAAACAUCGACCUAUUGUCACGAUCCGGGUAUACCGCAUCACUCAUCUUUCAUGCCCCUAAGGAAAUUCAUCUAGGGCUUUACUAACUACAAGGCGUUGCCAUAUAUCCAGACAUGGUGCCGUCUUGCACAACUUCCGGUCUCGGGUUGAUCUCGCAAACUCUAGAUCUGGUAUUUGACGAGAAAUGGAAAGAGUCGGCCAAACUCAAUAAAGGA